rnacentral:rRNA from 1 species
UAAUACGUAGGUGGCAAGCGUUGUCCGGAUUUAUUGGGUUUAAAGGGUGCGUAGGUGGUCUAUUAAGUCAGUGCUGAAAUAUCCCGGCUUAACCGGGAGGGUGGCAUUGAUACUGAUGGACUUGAGUAGAGUCGAGGUAGGCGGAAUUGACGGUGUAGCGGUGAAAUGCUUAGAUAUCGUCAAGAACACCUAUAGCGAAGGCAGCUUACUAGGCUCUAACUGACACUGAGGCACGAAAGUGUGGGGAUCAAACAGGAUUAGAUACCCUGGUAGUCCACACUGUAAACGUUGAUUACUCGAUGUUGGCGAUACACAGCCAGCGUCUUAGCGAAAGCGAUAAGUAAUCCACCUGGGGAGUACGCCGGCAACGGUG